UCCAAUGCCUAGCAGUCCAAAGCACCU
rnacentral:piRNA from 1 species